rnacentral:tRNA from 1 species
GUUGUGGCUCAGAGGUGGAGCGCUUGCCUAGCAUGCAUGAGACACUGGGUUCGAUCCUUAGCACCACA